UACGUAGGUGGCGAGCGUUAUCCGGAUUUACUGGGCGUAAAGAGCGCGUAGGCGGUUCCGCAAGUUGGGCGUGAAAGCCCCCGGCUUAACUGGGGAGGGUCGUUCAAUACUGCGGGACUUGAGGGUGGAAAAGGAGACUGGAAUUCCCGGUGUAGUGGUGAAAUGCGUAGAUAUCGGGAGGAACACCUGUGGUGAAGACGGGUCUCCGGGCCAUUUCUGACGCUGAGGCGCGAAAGCGUGGGGAGCGAACGGA
rnacentral:rRNA from 1 species